rnacentral:rRNA from 1 species
ACGGGGGGGGCAAGCGUUGUUCGGAAUCAUUGGGCGUAAAGGGUGCGUAGGUGGUGCUGUAAGUCUGACGUGAAAUCUCUGGGCUUAACCCAGAAUCCGCGCCAGGAACUGCAGUGCUCGAGUGUGGGAGAGGAGAGUGGAAUUCCCGGUGUAGCGGUGAAAUGCGUAGAUAUCGGGUAGAACACCAGUGGCGAAGGCGGCUAUCUGGACGGACACUGACGCUGAGACGCGAAAGCGUGGGGAGCAAACAGGA